AGAACGAACGCUGGCGGCAGGCCUCAAACAUGCAAGUCUAGGGGGUGUAGCAAUACAUCACCGGCGGACGGGUGCGUAACACGUGGGAAUAUACCUUUGGUUCGGAACAACGCAGGGAAACUUGCGCUAAUACCGAAUGUGCCCUUACGGGGAAAGAUUUAUCGCCAAAGGAUUAGCCCGCGUAGGAUUAGCUAGUUGGUGAGGUAAUGGCUCACCAAGGCUCCGAUCCUUAGCUGUUCUGAGAGGAAGAUCAGCCACACUGGGACUGAGACACGGCCCAGACUCCUACGGGAGGCAGCAGUGGGGAAUCUUGCGCAAUGCGCGAAAGCGUGACGCAGCAACGCCGCGUGCAGGAAGACACUUUUCGGAGCGUAAACUGCUUUUCUCGGGGACGAGUAAGGACGGUACCCGAGGAAUCAGCCCCGGCUAACUACGUGCCAGCAGCCGC
rnacentral:rRNA from 1 species